rnacentral:rRNA from 1 species
UACGAAGGGGGCUAGCGUUGCUCGGAAUUACUGGGCGUAAAGGGCGCGUAGGCGGACAGUUAAGUUGGGGGUGAAAGCCCGGGGCUCAACCUCGGAAUUGCCUUCAAUACUGGCUGUCUUGAGUAUGGGAGAGGUGUGUGGAACUCCGAGUGUAGAGGUGAAAUUCGUAGAUAUUCGGAAGAACACCAGUGGCGAAGGCGACACACUGGCCCAUUACUGACGCUGAGGCGCGAAAGCGUGGGGAGCAAACAGG